rnacentral:lncRNA from 1 species
GUGGAUUUGCAGCAGAAACACCCUGCUAAAGAACAAGUAUCUUGAUUCACAGCAAAGAAGACAAAGAAAAACAGCAAGUUCUAGGGGGUUGAAUCCUGGAUUGCAAUUCAGCUAUGGCUUUGGACUUGCACAACACCCUUGCAAGACAGUGGCCCUGCAAGUCAUCAGAGCUUCCUGCAUAAAGAGCCUGAGAACAUUCUAAAGUAUGGUCUUCCUGCAGAGAGAAGAAUGGUUCACUUUCCCUCACCUCCGGAAGCAAUCAAAUUUGCCCUCUUAUCAUAUGUAUUACUGCAGUCUCUCUCUGAGAGAAGUUCAGGACAGACCAUAUACUAUGAACUUGGUGAACUAGGAAAUUUCACACAAUAUUGUGCAAGUCUGAAGUUAUCAGGAGUACCUUACUGACACCUUGUUAUCUUCUUCUAAAACAGAAGUCAAGAUUGAAGGAAAGGACAAGGAUAUAAUACUGAGCAUCUUAUCAUGUGCUACCUGCAUGAGUCUUGUCAAUGGGUGAGAGAGAGGUGACCCCUGCUUUCUUCACUUAUGAUGGAUCAUUGCUGAGGAGAAGCUUCAGAUUACUGUCCUGUCCACCCCACUGUGGCUCACUCAACUCCAGAGGUCAGCAGGAAAGAAAAUGCUGAGAUAAUUUUAAAAGCUGGUAUUAUACUGAUUUCGUAGUUCCAAGGUGCUGAGUUUGCUCUCUCCAAGGCCAGCUGACCAGCUAGGUGGCAGAAGAAAGAUGAUAUUUUCUUUCUGCCUCUCUUCAAUCAGUGGUUUGCUGGUUUGUUAACAUUGUCUUCUCGUGGGAUAAAAGUGAAUGUGGGUCUCAGGCAAUCACUUGAAGGCCUUGAUUAAAACUGACUGACCUCCUGGAAGAAGAGGGAAUUCUGGCAGCAAACUGCCUUUGGACUUGAAUCGUGGCUCUGGCCUGAGUCUCCAGCCUAUUGUCCCACCCUGCAAGUUUUGAACUGGCCAACGCUCCACAAUUUAAGCAGUUAAUCAGCCCACUCUCUUUCUUCACAUCCUGUUAUCUUGGUUUCUCUGGAGAACCAUUACAAACACACAUAUAAACAGAAAAUCAUUUGGUUAAGAACCUCUUUUUACUACAAAAAAUGUUUAAUUUCACCUUUUUAAAUAAAAUUGUUUAAGAGAUCUUCUCAUUUCUUUUUGUUGUGUCAGUGUUGAUUUACAUAUAAUAAAGUUCACCAAUUUUGUGUCCAAUUGGAUGAAUCUGACAAUUUUAUACAAUAGCACAACCCACAAACAUCCACAUAUAGAACUUUUCUCCAAUAUCAAAAUAUCUAGCUAUUUAUUUGCAGCCAAUUCACUGCCCUAAACUCCUGGCUAUGGGCAAACACUGAUUUGCUGAGUAUCAUUACAGUUUUGCUUUUCUCAAAUUUAACCAAAAGGAAAAUGAACUCAUAGUAUUUGUGUUUGUCUUUUCUCACUUAGUUUGAGAUUUACUGAUGCUGUUGCAAGUAUCUGUG